rnacentral:rRNA from 1 species
UGUCUCAAAGAUUAAGCCAUGCAUGUCUAAGUUUAAACGAUUCUAUCGUGAAACCGCGAACGGCUCAUUAUAACAGCUAUAAUUUACUUGAUCUUGACUCGUCCUACAAGGAUAACUGUGGUAAUUCUAGAGCUAAUACUUGCACCAAAGCUCUGACCUCACGGGAAGAGUGCAUUUAUUAGAACAAAACCAAGCUGCACGUGUUGCAGACGCUUUGUUGACUCAAGAUAACUCAGCUGAUGGCAUUGCUUUACGCAGGCCACGUGUCAAUCAAGUAUCUGCCUUAUCAACUUUCGAUGGUAGUGUAUUUGACUACCAUGGUUGUGACGGGUAACGGAGAAUAAGGGUUCGACUCCGGAGAAGGCGCCUGAGAAAUGGCGACUACGUCCAAGGAAGGCAGCAGGCGCGCAAAUUACCCACUCUCAGAUUGAGGAGGUAGUGACGAGAAAUAACGAGACCGUUCUCUACGAGGCCGGUCAUCGGAAUGGGUACAAUGUAAACCCUUUAACGAGUAUCUAUGAGAGGGCAAGUCUGGUGCCAGCAGCCGCGGUAAUUCCAGCUCUCAAAAUGCAUAGAAUCAUUGCUGCGGUUAAAAAGCUCGUAGUUGGAUCUGUGCUGGAGACUUGGUCCACCUUAGGGUGCGUACUGAGCUCUUCAGCUUUUCUGUCGGUUUUCCCAGCAUGGCCUUUAUUGGUUGUGUUGGGUAGCUGAUGAUUUUACUUUGAACAAAUCAGAGUGCUUCAAACAGGCGUUUUGCUUGUAUGUUUUUGCAUGGAAUAAUAGAAAAGGAUUUCGGUUCUAUUUUAUUGGUUUUAUAGACUGAUAUAAUGGUUAACAGAGACGAACGGGGGCAUUAGUACUUUUGCGCUAGAGGUGAAAUUCUUGGACCGCAAAAGACUAACUAUAGCGAAAGCAUUUGCCAAGAACGUCUUCAUUAAUCAAGAACGAAAGUCAGAGGUUCGAAGGCGAUCAGAUACCGCCCUAGUUCUGACCGUAAACGAUGCCAACUAGCGAUCUGCCGGUGGAAUACUAGCCCUGGUAGGGAGCUUCCCCGGAAACGAAAGUCUUCCGGUUCCGGGGGAAGUAUGGUUGCAAAGCUGAAACUUAAAGGAAUUGACGGAAGGGCACCACCAGGAGUGGAGCCUGCGGCUUAAUUUGACUCAACACGGGAAAACUCACCCGGCCCGGACACUGUAAGGAUUGACAGAUUGAUAGCUUUUUCAUGAUUCGGUGGAUGGUGGUGCAUGGCCGUUCUUAGUUCGUGGAGCGAUUUGUCUGGUUUAUUCCGAUAACGAGCGAGACUCUAGCCUACUAACUAGUCUUCACAUUGCUACUGUGUGGAGUACUUCUUAGAGGGAUUAUCGGUGUACAGCCGCAUGAAAUUGAGCAAUAACAGGUCUGUGAUGCCC